rnacentral:tRNA from 1 species
GGCCUCGUAACUCAGUUGGCUAGAGCGUUGGUUGUACUAAAGCCUUUUCCCUUACUGACGUGGGUUCGACUCCCACCAAGGCCG